AGAUAUGGUAGAUGGACUAGAAGAGCAUGACAUUUACUGUUGUGUCGAUAUUUUCUCCUCGGACCUUGAAAAUUUAUGGUGGGGUCACGCAAACUUCUCAACAGGCCGUACCGAUAUCCGCAGCUGGUCUCCAAGGUGAAGAGUCUCUAGUCGAUAGAAUAAUGUAGGUAAGGGAAGUCGGCAAAUUAGAUCCGUAACUUCGGGAGAAGGAUC
rnacentral:rRNA from 1 species